rnacentral:rRNA from 1 species
GCGACCCCAGGUCANGCGGGACUACCCGCUGAAUUUAAGCAUAUAAAUAAGCG